GGUAAGAUGACCGAGGAUAGGCGACUUAUUGUAGCUUCGUUCAUGGGAUAGUCAUACCCUCUAACCC
rnacentral:tRNA from 1 species